UGCCCUUAGUAACGGCGAGUGAAGCGGCAAAAGCUCAAAUUUGAAAUCUGGUACCUUCGGUGCCCGAGUUGUAAUUUGGAGAGGGCAACUUUGGGGCCGUUCCUUGUCUAUGUUCCUUGGAACAGGACGUCAUAGAGGGUGAGAAUCCCGUGUGGCGAGGAGUGCGGUUCUUUGUAAAGUGCCUUCGAAGAGUCGAGUUGUUUGGGAAUGCAGCUCUAAGUGGGUGGUAAAUUCCAUCUAAAGCUAAAUAUUGGCGAGAGACCGAUAGCGAACAAGUACAGUGAUGGAAAGAUGAAAAGAACUUUGAAAAGAGAGUGAAAAAGUACGUGAAAUUGUUGAAAGGGAAGGGCAUUUGAUCAGACAUGGUGUUUUGUGCCCUCUGCUCCUUGUGGGUAGGGGAAUCUCGCAUUUCACUGGGCCAGCAUCAGUUUUGGUGGCAGGAUAAAUCCAUAGGAAUGUAGCUUGCCUCGGUAAGUAUUAUAGCCUGUGGGAAUACUGCCAGCUGGGACUGAGGACUGCGACGUAAGUCAAGGAUGCUGGCAUAAUGGUUAUAUGCCGCCCGUCUUGAACCCCCGAAAAC
rnacentral:rRNA from 1 species